rnacentral:rRNA from 1 species
AGAGUUUGAUCCUGGCUCAGAUUGAACGCUGGCGGCAGGCCUAACACAUGCAAGUCGAGCGGCAGCGGGAAAGUAGCUUGCUACUUUUGCCGGCGAGCGGCGGACGGGUGAGUAAUGCCUGGGAAAUUGCCCAGUCGAGGGGGAUAACAGCUGGAAACGACUGCUAAUACCGCAUACGCCCUACGGGGGAAAGCAGGGGACCUUCGGGCCUUGCGCGAUUGGAUAUGCCCAGGUGGGAUUAGCUAGUUGGUGAGGUAAUGGCUCACCAAGGCGACGAUCCCUAGCUGGUCUGAGAGGAUGAUCAGCCGCACUGGAACUGAGACACGGUCCAGACUCCUACGGGAGGCAGCAGUGGGGAAUAUUGCACAAUGGGGGAAACCCUGAUGCAGCCAUGCCGCGUGUGUGAAGAAGGCCUUCGGGUUGUAAAGCACUUUCAGCGAGGAGGAAAGGUCAGUAGCUAAUACCUGCUGGCUGUGACGUUACUCGCAGAAGAAGCACCGGCUAACUCCGUGCCAGCAGCCGCGGUAAUACGGAGGGUGCAAGCGUUAAUCGGAAUUACUGGGCGUAAAGCGCACGCAGGCGGUUGGAUAAGUUAGAUGUGAAAGCCCCGGGCUCAACCUGGGAAUUGCAUUUAAAACUGUCCGGCUAGAGUCUUGUAGAGGGGGGUAGAAUUCCAGGUGUAGCGGUGAAAUGCGUAGAGAUCUGGAGGAAUACCGGUGGCGAAGGCGGCCCCCUGGACAAAGAC